rnacentral:misc_RNA from 1 species
UCCGGUUUGUCACCGGCAGUCUCGCAUGAGUCCCCAACUAAAUGCUGGCAACAUACGACGGGGGUUGCGCUCGUUGCGGGACUUAACCCAACAUCUCACGACACGAGCUGACGACAGCCAUGCACCACCUGUGAAGGUGCCCCGAAGGGAAGCCGUGUUUCCACGGCGGUCACCCACAUGUCAAGCCCAGGUAAGGUGGGGAUGACGUUUACCGACAGCU